GUUCCCUGGAAAUGGAUGUUAUCUUUUCUUUCAUAUCUUAGCUUCUCUAGUUAAUACAUCAUGUUGUGGUUAUUGUAAUCGUAUAUCAAUCAUCCCUAUUGUGGCUGUUACUUGGGUUUGGUCAACCCGAAAACUGAUUGACCCAAAUCGAGUUUAGGACGGGUGCCAAGGCCCUUGGCUCACAUUCGGGUUAGAAAACGCAGACCCAACUUGAAAUCAGGUUUGUUUCAGGAAAAGGUUGGAUUUGGAAUAAUCAUGUGUAUUUGGGUCAAGUUGGUUCAGUACAGAGGAUUUUGCAUUGGCUUCAGUUUGGGCAUCUCAGUUUGGGCUUCGGUUUGGGCAUCUCAGUUGAAACUUAAUUGUUCAAUGAAACUUGUUUCAAACAAGCUCUCAACUUGAGAAACAACAUCUCUUGUUCUGAUAUGAUCACCCCUAAAACGUAGAGAGUUUUGUGACUACAGCUAGCUAACUACCUCUGUUUGGACAUAUAUGUAAUCUGAUAUUUGCUAAUUAAAAAAAAGUCUUCAGGUGUUAGCCAUAGUAUCAAUCUGAUAUCAAUAUGCUUAGCAGCAUUAUAGAAAUUCAAACUAUAAGCAUUAGCAUGUCACCUUUAUUCUUUGAUUGUCACAGAACAUGGGUUGGUUCUUAACCUGCAUAAGUUCAGUGGUAGGAGCCAUGGAUAUUUAAACUUUGUCUUGGAUUUUUAUUUUUAUUUUUUUGUUUUCCAUUGAGUUCAAUACAGGUCAUUCUGUGUACAUUUCUGGUGAUUGGGACUUAAUAAUAACGCUUCAGAAAAUAGCAGCCACAUCUUUCAUUUUCCUAGCACGGAGCUUCUAAUGGCAACCUCUGCAUCAUUUUAGGGUACAUAUUGGAAGAGGAUAUUAACAAUCUUCAUCAGCAGAAGUUGUGGGUGACGUUUCCUAAGCCCAUGAGUGUUCGAAGCAUUGCUCAACCAAAUGUAGCCACAUGCACCAAUGCAGCAUAAGGAUGUGAGAUCAAAGCUUUCUAUGAUCAAGGCAUUGAUCAGCAUAUUAGGAGCUUUGAUCUGUAAGAUUUUUUUUUUAGCAUCUUCCAUCUAUGGCAGAGCCUAGCAAAUCAAUUGAAAGAUGAAGAAUUGACCGGUCUCUGAUCAAUUGAAAGAUUUUUUCAUUUUUUAUUUUUUUUUGAAAUGUCAGACUUAUGCAAGUUUUACCCAUUAGGAUUGAUUCACUUGGAGUUCUGAUUCUGCAUUUUUUUGGUAUUUCAUAUUCUAAUCUAUUAAUUUCCGGUUCUUUUGGUAAUACAGUUAUGUCUUUAUUUGGUAGUUUGAUGUGUAUGACCUCUUAACUGCUGCAGUGAGUUGGCAAUUGCUGUUAUUCCUAAUAUUGCUUAGCAUGCGUUUUAAUGUCAAAAUCUGCAUCAAGGACUAAUUUUAUACAUCAAUACUUACGCCUCAUUUGUAUAUUUCCAGCUUUUGUCACCUUCAAAGAUAAAUUUUGUGCCACUGAAGCAGGCAAGUUUUUACAUUCAGAUCGUGGAUUGAUCAUAAACCUUUUUGAACCAUUUAUAUAUUACAAAUGAAUUUUGUUUUGCCUCGUUUAUAGAUUGAAAAAUCCUUGGAGGAGCUUGCACCUGCUUGCUGUUUAUAGAUGCCGACUCAGGUUUUUGUCGUCCUAUCAGAAAGUGUCUUAAGCUUGAUCAUGUCCAAGCCCCAUGGAUUUCAUUUUUUUUUUCUACAGUUUAUCUUGGUAGUUAUGAUAUGGAAGGCAAUUGCAAGAGCUUAUGACUUAGCUGCUCUCAAGUAUUGGGGACUAGCAACUCAUUUCAACUUCCUAGUAUGUUUGGGUGCAUGCCGAUUGGACCUGAAAAUUUGAGAUUUUCAUUCAUUUGUUUCAUGGCUUUUGGCAUUGGAAUUGGGAUGGUGCAAUUGGAUAACUAUUACAAGGAACUUGAGGAAUGGAGAACAUAAGUCAUUCAUUUUUAUUUGUUUAUUUAUUAUUAUUAUUAUUAUUAUUUUUUUGGGUUAUUUCUAACCUUCCAACGGAAUUGUGUAACCAUAUGUGAGAGACAUGAUGGCCCUUGUAAGAGCUUGUAAGACAAUACUAUCUCGUUAUGCAUGUAACUGUAUGUGAAAACAUUUCACAUUUGUUUAAUCUGUAUAAUCUACAGGCCUGUUUGGAUUUGUGGAAAGCAUAAAAAUUAAAGAGA